GGGCAUUUGGUCUAGUGGUAUGAUUCUCACUUAGGGUGCGAGAGGUCCCGAGUUCAAUUCUGGGAAUGCCCC
rnacentral:tRNA from 1 species